GACGAAUGCUGGCUGCGUGCUUAACACAUGCAAGUCGAACGGUGAAGGAGAGCUUGCUCUCCGGAUCAGUGGCGAACGGGUGAGUAACACGUGGGCAACCUGCCCCUCACUCUGGGAUAACGCCGGGAAACCGGCGCUAAUACAGGAUACGACCAGGGGCGACAUCUCGCCUGGUGGAAAGAAUUUCGGUGAGGGAUGGGGCCGAGGCCUAUCAGCUUGGUGGCGGGGUAACGGCCAAGCAAGGCGACUAGGGGUAGCGGGCCUGAGAGGGCGACCGGCCACACUGGGACUGAGACACGGCCCAGACUCCUACGGGAGGCAGCAGUGGGGAAUAUUGCGCAAUGGGCGAAAGCCUGACGCAGCGACGCAGCGUGAGGGACGACGGCCUUCGGGUUGUAAACCUCUUUCAGCGGGGACGAAGCGAAAGUGACGGUACCCGCAGAAGAAGCACCGGCUAACUACGUGCCAGCCGCCGCGGUAAAAC
rnacentral:rRNA from 1 species